CGAACCGUGCGAACGUUAUUCGGAAUCACUGGGCUUAAAGGGCGCGUAGACGGGUCGCCGCGUCGGUCGCUGAAAGCCCCCGGCUCAACCGGGGAACGGGCACCGAAACGGGCGGCCUGGAGGGGAGUAGGGGGACCUGGAACUUCCGGUGGAGCGGUGAAAUGCGUUGAGAUCGGAAGGAACGCCCGUGGCGAAAGCGAGGUCCUGGGCUCCUGCUGACGCUGAGACGCGAAAGCCAGGGGAGCGAACGGGAUUGGAUACCCCGGUAGUCCUGGCCGUAAACGAUGGGCACUGGGUAGGGGGCUCGCCGAUGGGCUCCCUGCCGCAGCGAAAGCGUGAAGUGCCCCGCCUGGGGAGUAUGGUCGCAAGGCUG
rnacentral:rRNA from 1 species